AGGGUGGCUGAGGUUCUGUCUGCAUCGACCUGAGCAGGGAGAAGGGACGGAAGAGAUGGCAGGGCGGAGAGAGGAGGCGGCAGCGCAGCGCUCGGAACUCCUGUGGUUUGGUGAGACGAGGCGCACGGCUGCCUGGGGGCCAACCAGACACCACAGGAGGCAGCCCAGCCUGGAGUUCUGAUACAAGCCAAGAGCAGUGACCAGGAAGUACAUGUCCCAGAGAUCCGGACAGAGAGAGAGAAAGACAGAGGGAGGUUUCAGGUGCUCCCAGUUGCAGACUCAAGGGUUCUCCGUCGCAGAAGCCACUUCCCUUUCCUGCCCUUCUCUCCUCCCCCUCCCGGCCCCUCUGCAAUCUGGAAUUGGGGCCGCGGCUCAGCUCUACCCCUCUGGGCUGCUGUGGGGGCGUUCUGGAAGACUGGCCUGCCCUGCUGGACUACGAGUGUCUCUGCCAAGAGCUGACAGAGGACGCAGGUCCCGUAAGCACAUCCUUCGGGAGAAAAGGCCAUGACAAGUGUCUCUCCAUUUGACAUCCUUCAGGCGCCUCCUCUGAGUCGGGCACGGCCAUCUCCACGCACUGGAAAUGGAGCAGCGGGCAGAGACAAGACUGCCUGCCUUCCUGGAGCAUAUAGUCUUGAGUGGGCAGAGAGGUGAUGAUAAGCAAAUAAAUAAUCAGAGUGUGGAGUGCUUCAGAUAUUGCUAGGUGGCUGGGAGAAAACUUAAGCAGGGGAUGGGGACAGAGUGUGUGGGGAAAGUUGGCUCCCCCGCUCCUGAACUCUCUUCCCUGUGCAGCCCCAGUGUCUUCAGCCAGAGGCUUUGGGCUGCCGAGAGACUUGCUACGAUCAGCAGCAGCUGCCCCCCGACUCAGAACGUCAUACAUUCACACUGUGCCAGCGGGAGCCUCGUCUUGAUCAGAGGACAGCUGGGGCACGCAUGCGCUGUGCUGCCCACUAGACACUCGGGUUUGGGUGACGCUCCCCCUUUGAUGUCGGAGAAGCAGAUGCCAACACUCUUGAGUAAACGGAAUCCCCGAGGAUCAGGGCUGUCAUCCUUCUCUGCUCGCAGGGGGUUGGCAUCGUGAGUCCAUCCCCUCCCCACACUGGGCAUUGCCCUGAUCGAGCAGCUGUAAGUGUGGCCAUGGGACAGGCCCCCAUUUGCCUCUGGCUUCCGCACUCCUCUAAAUUCAUCCCAGAACCAAUCUACAGGGGCCUCGGGCACAGGGUGCAAUUUGAGAGAAGCUGCACGCUGUCCGACCAAAAGGACCCCUCCGAUGCUGUCAGGGCCAAGGCAAAGCCCACUGUCGAUCCUACACACGGGGCAUUGCUGGCACGGGAGACAGAAGUAUUGAGAAAGAGACAAAGAGGCCACCCGGCAAUGGGUAAGAGCAGGGAGCCACUAGCACGCUAGGGCUGGAGAGGCCGUGGGAGGGGAACUUGUUACCGGGACCCAGAAGCCAGGCCGUUGGCUACGGGCACUUAGUGAAACCCGGGUCCAAGAUGGGAAGGCUGCCCAGCAGGCACAGCAGCACUGCUGGGGAUACUCCUGAGGUAGAGCAAAUGGGGAGACGGGAGACACACCCUCCCUGCUCCCUCCUCCACCUCCCAGGGCUGGCCCUGCCUCCGUGAUGUUUAGUUUUAUGUCAAUUUGCCUAGGCUUAUAGUAUGCAGCUUUUUAUUCAAACAUUAAUCUUGAUGUUGCUAUGACGAUUUUUAGGCUUGGCUAACAUCUCUAAUCAGUUGGCUUUAAGUAACGGAGAUUACCCUCGAUAGUUUGGGUGGGCCUCAUCCAAUCAGUUGAAGGCCUUAAGAGCAAACACUGAGGUUCUUGAAGAAGAAAUUCUACCUUAAGAUUGCAGCAUCAACUCCUGCUUGAGUUUCCAGCCUUACCAGCCUGCCUUAUAAAUUUUAGACCUGCCAUUCCAACCCCCAUGAUCCUGUGAACCAGUUUCUUGAA